GGUUAAGCGACUAAGCGUACACGGUGGAUGCCCUGGCAGUCAGAGGCGAUGAAGGACGUGCUAAUCUGCGAUAAGCGUCGGUAAGGUGAUAUAAACCGUUAUAACCGGCGAUUUCCGAAUGGGGAAACCCAGUGUGAUUCGUCACACUAUCAUUAACUGAAUCCAUAGGUUAAUGAGGCGAACCGGGGGAACUGAAACAUCUAAGUACCCCGAGGAAAAGAAAUCAACCGAGAUUCCCCCAGUAGCGGCGAGCGAACGGGGAGCAGCCCAGAGCCUGAAUCAGU
rnacentral:rRNA from 1 species